rnacentral:rRNA from 1 species
UACGUAGGGGGCAAGCGUUGUCCGGAUUUAUUGGGCGUAAAGAGCGUGUAGGCGGUUCGGUAGGUCCGUUGUGAAAACUCGAGGCUCAACCUCGAGACGCCGAUGGAAACCAUCGAACUAGAGUCCGGAAGAGGAGAAUGGAAUUCCCGGUGUAGCGGUGAAAUGCGCAGAUAUCGGGAAGAACACCCGUGGCGAAGGCGGUUCUCUGGGACGGUACUGACGCUGAGACGCGAAAGCGUGGGGAGCGAACAGG